AACGUAGGAGGCGAGCGUUAUCCGGAUUUACUGGGCGUAAAGCGCGUGCAGGCGGUUCGGCAAGUUGGAUGUGAAAUCUCCCGGCUCAACUGGGAGGGGUCGUUCAAAACUACCGGACUAGAGGAUGGUAGAGGAAGGUGGAAUUCCCGGUGUAGUGGUGAAAUGCGUAGAUAUCGGGAGGAACACCAGUGGCGAAAGCGGCCUUCUGGACCAUUCCUGACGCUCAGACGCGAAAGCUAGGGGAGCGAACGGG
rnacentral:rRNA from 1 species